rnacentral:rRNA from 1 species
UGCUUGGGAAUCUGCCUAAUAGUGGGGAACAACUCGGGGAAACUCGGGCUAAUACCGCAUAAUCUCUUCGGAGGAAAGGGGCCGUCUACAUGUAAGCUCUCGCUAAUAGAUGAGCCCAAGUCAGAUUAGCUUGUUGGUAAGGUAAUGGCUUACCAAGGCUACGAUCUGUAGCUGGUCUGAGAGGAUGAUCAGCCACACUGGGACUGAGACACGGCCCAGACUCCUACGGGAGGCAGCAGUGAGGAAUAUUGCACAAUGGGCGAAAGCCUGAUGCAGCAAUGCCGCGUGUGUGAAGAAGGC